rnacentral:tRNA from 1 species
UUCAUGGUGGACUAGUGGUCUGGACUCAGCACUUUCACUGCUGCAGCCCAGGUUCAAUCCCUGGUCUGGGAA